GCUCAAAGAGAAAUGAUUAAGGAAGUUCGCACAAAAAGGAAAUAACUAAAGGAAAUAUUACAUCAGGAAUGAAGAAAAAGGAACAGAAAGGGUUUCUAAACAGGACCUUGCAAAACAUGCGGACACAGUAAAAUACAAGCAAGUCAUUAUUACAAGCAAACAACAGGGCUUGGAGGAACACCAUUCCACAAAAUUUUGGGAGACACCAGACCACA
rnacentral:lncRNA from 10 species